rnacentral:rRNA from 6 species
CUCGGUGGCUAUGGCGGAGGGGACCCACCCGAUCCCAUCUCGAACUCGGAAGUUAAGCCCUCCUGCGCCGAUGGUACUGCAAAUUUGUGGGAGAGUAGGGCGUUGCCGGGG